rnacentral:rRNA from 1 species
CCUACGGGAGGCAGCAGUGGGGAAUUUUGGACAAUGGGCGCAAGCCUGACCCAGCCAUGCCGCGUGAGUGAAGGAGGCCUUCGGGUUGUAAAGCUCUUUUGUCAGGGAAGAAACGGUGGGAGCUAAUAUCUCCUGCUAAUGACGGUACCUGAAGAAUAAGCACCGGCUAACUACGUGCCAGCAGCCGCGGUAAUACGUAGGGUGCAAGCGUUAAUCGGAAUUACUGGGCGUAAAGCGUGCGCAGGCGGUUUUGUAAGUCUGAUGUGAAAUCCCCGGGCUCAACCUGGGAAUUGCAUUGGAGACCGCAAGGCUAGAGUCUGGCAGAGGGGGGUAGAAUUCCACGCGUAGCAGUGAAAUGCGUAGAUAUGUGGAGGAACACCGAUGGCGAAGGCAGCCCCCUGGGUCAAGAUUGACGCUCAUGCACGAAAGCGUGGGGAGCAAACAGGAUUAGAUACCCUGGUAGUCCACGCCCUAAACGAUGUCUACUAGUUGUCGGGUCUUAAUUGACUUGGUAACGCAGCUAACGCGUGAAGUGAGCCGCCUGGGGAGUACGGCCGCAAGGUUAAAACUCAAAGGAAUUGACGGA